GAUGAACGCUGGCGGCGUGCCUAAUACAUGCAAGUCGAGCGAACGGACGAGGAGCUUGCUCCUCUGACGUUAGCGGCGGACGGGUGAGUAACACGUGGAUAACCUACCUAUAAGACUGGGAUAACUUCGGGAAACCGGAGCUAAUACCGGAUAAUAUAUUGAACCGCAUGGUUCAAUAGUGAAAGACGGUUUUGCUGUCACUUAUAGAUGGAUCCGCGCCGCAUUAGCUAGUUGGUAAGGUAACGGCUUACCAAGGCAACGAUGCGUAGCCGACCUGAGAGGGUGAUCGGCCACACUGGAACUGAGACACGGUCCAGACCCCUACGGGAGGCAGCAGUAGGGAAUCUUCCGCAAUGGGCGAAAGCUUGACGGAGCAACGCCGCGUGAGUGAUGAAGGUCUUCGGAUCGUAAAACUCUGUUAUUAGGGAAGAACAAAUGUGUAAGUAACUAUGCACGUCUUGACGGUACCUAAUCAGAAAGCCACGGCUAACUACGUG
rnacentral:rRNA from 1 species